AAAAUACAAUUCAAAAAACAAUAUUCAAAAGAAUAGUUAUAUACUUAAUAUUUGAAAAUCAAAGAUAUUUUUGCUAAAAUUGUACUUACCUGGCCAAGGAGAUCGACCAUCUUUUUACGGAUCGAUCGAUUAUUGAGCAUGUGGUCGAUCUAAAAAUACUUUGCAGUUUAAUUAAAUAUCUAAAACAUUUAUUUCAACACUCAACAGAUAGUUUUGCUAAAUAUAAUAACUAAAUAACCAACAAAAUUACAAAAAAAAUAUUUUAAUAGUAAAAAAUAUGUUAAUUUAACUUGUUAAAAUUUAAAAAUAAAUUUUAAUAUGACAUGCAUCUUAACAUUUAUAUAAAUAUAUUUCAUAACCUAAAUAUAAAUAAUUUAACAACUUAAAUUAGAAAAAAAAAAAAUCCCGGGCGUAGUCCGGGUUUAUCCCUAGUAAAAGUAUAAA
rnacentral:lncRNA from 1 species